rnacentral:rRNA from 1 species
CAUUCAAAGAGUGCGUAACAGCUCACUGGUCGAGUGGACAUGCGCCGACAAUACACGGGGCUAAGCUGGACACCGAAGCGGCGGGAUUUUGAUUUUCAGAAUCGGUAGGGGAGCUUCCCAUGGGCGGAGAAGCCGGAGGGCGACCGACGGUGGAGCGCAUGGGAGUGAGAAUGCUGGCAUGAGUAGCGAGAGACGAGAGAGUAACUCGUCCGCCGUGAACCCGAGGUUUCCUGGGCAAGGCUAAUCCUCCCAGGGUCAGUCGGGGGCUAAGGCGAGGCCGGGAGGCGUAGCCGACGCGCAGCAGGCAGACAUUCCUGCACCGCGCACGCGGCGCUACGACCGACGGGGCGACGGAUGGGGGUGGCUCGGCGGGGUUCUGGACGUCCCCGUGAUGGAGCGCGGCCCGCGGACCAGGGAAAUCCGGUCCGCAGAAGGGCGAGGCUCCGGACGAAGCACUUAAGCGAAGCGAGUGAGCCCGAGGUCCCUAGAAAAACCCCUAGGCAGGCGCGUGCGCGCCCGUACCGCAAACCGACACAGGUGGGUGGGUAGAACAUACCGAGGCGAUCGGGUCAACCAUGGUCAAGGAACUCGGCACAAUGGCCCCGUAACUUCGGGAGAAGGGGUGCCCGCGCGUACGUGAACCGGCUCGCCCGGGGAGCGGAGGCGGGCCGCAGUGGAGAGGCCCAAGCGACUGUUUACCAAAAACACAGGACUCUGCAGAAGCCGCAAGGCGACGUAUAGGGUCUGACGCCUGCCCGGUGCCGGAAGGUCACGCGGAGGAGUUAGCCGAUUCGGCGAAGCCCCGAAGCCAAGCCCCGGUAAACGGCGGCCGUAACUAUAACGGUCCUAAGGUAGCGAAAUUCCUUGUCGGGUAAGUUCCGACCUGCACGAAAGGCGCAACGACUUGGGCGCUGUCUCGACCAUGGACCCGGUGAAAUUGCACUGGUCGUGAAGAUGCGACUUACCCGCGGAAGGACGGAAAGACCCCGUGAACCUUCACUGCAGCUUGGCAUUGGCCGCUGGUCCCGCGUGUAGAGGAUAGGCAGGAGGCACAGAUCCGGAGGCGCCAGCCCCCGGGGAGCCGCCCUUGGAAUACUGCCCUCGCGCGACCGGCGUCCUAACCCGAGGCCGUCAACCGGCUCGGGGACCGUGCCAGGCGGGCAGUUUGACUGGGGCGGUCGCCUCCUAAAGGGUAACGGAGGCGCGCGAAGGUCCGCUCGGGACGGUCGGCAACCGUCCUUUUGAAUGCAAGAGUACAAGCGGGCUUGACUGCGAGGCCCACAAGCCGAGCAGGUGCGAAAGCAGGCUCUAGUGAUCCGGCGGCCCCGAGUGGGUGGGCCGUCGCUCAACGGAUAAAAGGUACUCCGGGGAUAACAGGCUGAUCUUGCCCAAGAGUCCACAUCGACGGCAAGGUUUGGCACCUCGAUGUCGGCUCAUCGCAUCCUGGGGCUGAAGUAGGUCCCAAGGGUUGGGCUGUUCGCCCAUUAAAGCGGUACGCGAGCUGGGUUCAGA